AUGCAUUAAUUUAGUAAUUCUUUCAUCAAGCAUUCUUUGAAUGCUCACUGAGCUUGGUGCUCAGAAAAAUGGAACAGGCUGAGUUCAGAGGGAGAGACAGGCAUAGGAGGAAACAGCCAUGAUAUCAAGAGAUAAACAGUAUAAUAAAAGUAUAUGCAGAGGGCUGUUUCCAGGGACAUGGGGCCAAAGUGGGAGGGUCACUGAAGUGACAUUUGGACUGGGUCAUAAAGGAUCAAUAAGAUUUUAUGAGUCAGAGAAGGUUGGGGAAGGACAUUUCAGGCAGAGACAGGAGUAGCAAAGGCCCAGAAAUGUCUUAGUGUAAACCAAAUCAAGGAAAUGGUAGGGGGUAUGGACCAGUCUCUAGCCAGGUGAUAAAAGGACAUGAUUUAAUUUGACUUUUGUCCUUGCAGACCUCAUUCUGCAAAUCCAUUGUGGAUUGCCUUCCAAGGAAUCUUGAUUUCAGCUAACUCUUCACCACCCUUUUUGCAACAGGUUUCAGCUAGGACCUACAAAGUGAAAAGGACACCUCCUAUAAUAUUUAGCUAGACGGUUCAGAAUUUAUACCUUGUCUCGUCUUUGCUGUUCUGUCUUUAACAUAAUGCUGGCUUGUGCUGUUCCAGUGCUUACAGUGAAACUGAAUGUCAAGUGAAGCCAUCUGAAAAUAAAAAGGGACCAGAAA